UCUCCAUCGGUUUGGACGAGCGAACCACUCGCGGAGAACAACAGCAAGCUCAGCUCCGAUCUGACUUCCCUCAUCCACUAGGGUUGUGAUGGGCAACAAGGUAUGCAAGGAUGUCACUGUCAUUAAGGUGGAUAGUGGGAAUAAACAUUGAAUACUUCUGGAGGUUGUUCAAGUUCUAAUUGAGCUUAAUCUCACCAUUAAGAAAGCUUAUAUCUCAUUUUAUGGUGGCUGGUUCAUGGAUGUUUUCAAUGUUACUGAUCAUGAAGGGAACAAAGUCACCGAUGAUAGCGUUCUUGAAUAUAUUUGUACAUUAAGUAAUAGCGAUCAUUUUCUUGGUUUAUAUUUAGUUUCGGUUAGUUUUGAUAAUAUGGUUAUCAACUCUUUAUUUGGUGUGUGAUUGUUUAUAUUUGUUUAUAUUCAGUCUUGGUUUAUAUUUGUUUAUAUUUGUUUAUAUUUGAGGAAAGAGUUUCAGUGACAAAGUUGAGUCAAGCUUAGGUCAAUUGACUUGUCCCACUACAAUGUCAUAAUUUGAUAUAUACUUAGGUUCCUCAAAGAACACA